rnacentral:precursor_RNA from 12 species
GAAGACUCCUCAAUCUUGCUACAGGCUAAUACUGUUGCUAAUAUGCAACUCUGUUGUAUAAAAAUUGGAAUUGCACUUUAGCAAUGGUGAUGGACUGUCAGACAUAUCAAGACAUUAGAA